UGAAUUGACGGGGCCCGCACAAGCGGUGGAGCAUGUGGUUUAAUUCGACGCAACGCGAAGAACCUUACCUACCCUUGACAUGUCCGGAACUUGCCAGAGAUGGCUUGGUGCCCGAAAGGGAAUCGGAACACAGGUGCUGCAUGGCUGUCGUCAGCUCGUGUCGUGAGAUGUUGGGUUAAGUCCCGCAACGAGCGCAACCCUUAUCAUUAGUUGCUACGCAAGGGCACUCUAAUGAGACUGCCGGUGACAAACCGGAGGAAGGUGGGGAUGACGUCAAGUCCUCAUGGCCCUUAUGGGUAGGGCUUCACACGUCAUACAAUGGUCGGUACAGAGGGUUGCCAAGCCGCGAGGCGGAGCCAAUCCCACAAAGCCGAUCGUAGUCCGGAUUGUUCUCUGCAACUCGAGAGCAUGAAGUCGGAAUCGCUAGUAAUCGCAGGUCAGCAUACUGCGGUGAAUACGUUCCCGGGUCUU
rnacentral:rRNA from 1 species